rnacentral:rRNA from 1 species
UACGUAGGGACCAAGCGUUGUUCGGAAUUACUGGGCGUAAAGCGCACGUAGGCGGCUUUGUAAGUUAGAGGUGAAAGCCCGGGGCUCAACCCCGGAAUUGCCUUUAAGACUGCAUCGCUUGAAUCCAGGAGAGGUGAGUGGAAUUCCGAGUGUAGAGGUGAAAUUCGUAGAUAUUCGGAAGAACACCAGUGGCGAAGGCGGCUCACUGGACUGGUAUUGACGCUGAGGUGCGAAAGCGUGGGGAGCAAACAGG